AUUCCUCCUUUGGAAUUGAACUAAGACGCUGCUAGGUUAAGUACUCUGUCUAUGUGUAGGUAUGUGUGGCACGUUGCUUGGCCUUCGAGGCAUUUUAUCACAAAUGAGGGGUUGAUUUGCCAAGAUGAGCAUCGUAUUGAAAGCAAUCUGCUUAAAGGGGUGAAAUGUGGCCUUAAGACAUGACUUGAAAGUAAAUUUAUGAUGAGGAGGCGUGUAGAUUAUGAAAAUUGUGGUGGAAAGGCAUUCAUAUAUAUAUAUAUAUAUAUAUAUAUAUAUAUAUUUGUUGCAUUUGAAAUUUACUUUGUCAUCGUCAUUAUGCAUACAUAUUCAUUCUCAUGGAUCAUAGAAAUGGCACAAUGAAACUGACGUUUGGAAGGA